rnacentral:rRNA from 1 species
CACUGCCGAGAAAAGCCUCUAGAUAGAAAAUAGGUGCCCGUACCGCAAACCGACACAGGUAGUCAAGAUGAGAAUUCUAAGGUGAGCGAGCGAACUCUCGUUAAGGAACUCGGCAAAAUGACCCCGUAACUUCGGGAGAAGGGGUGCUCUUUAGGGUUAACGCCCAGAAGAGCCGCAGUGAAUAGGCCCAAGCGACUGUUUAUCAAAAACACAGGUCUCUGCUAAACCGUAAGGUGAUGUAUAGGGGCUGACGCCUGCCCGGUGCUGGAAGGUUAAGAGGAGUGGUUAGCUUCUGCGAAGCUACGAAUCGAAGCCCCAGUAAACGGCGGCCGUAACUAUAACGGUCCUAAGGUAGCGAAAUUCCUUGUCGGGUAAGUUCCGACCCGCACGAAAGGCGUAACGAUUUGGGCACUGUCUCAACGAGAGACUCGGUGAAAUCAUAGUACCUGUGAAGAUGCAGGUUACCCGCGACAGGACGGAAAGACCCCGUGGAGCUUUACUGUAGCCUGAUAUUGAAAUUCGGCACAGCUUGUACAGGAUAGGUAGGAGCCUUUGAAACGUGAGCG